rnacentral:lncRNA from 1 species
GAUAACUUUGUAGAGUUAAAGACUAAUUAAUAGUUUAACUAUUUAGUUUUAAAUUAGUAUUGAUACAUCAUAAACUACAAGCCUGGAUUUGCUGCAAUAAAAAAUAAUGCAAUCACUAGAAUAAUAGAAUAGAAAUGUUGGAUAGUUUAUCUUUAUCCAACUAAUCUCAGCAAAAGAAAUUCAGAACACAAAAACUGAAUAAGCAAAGAUGAAAUUUAACUAUAGCGACUUCAUUAUUUCCAGGAAACAAAUCAAUUACAAUUAAGGAUUACUAGAACAAAUCAAGUACUCUAUCACAGAUGAUGGAAAAUCCAGUAAACAAUUUAAGACUGUUUAGGCUUUAUGAGAUUUGAAUCCUGUGGUCUUCUCUGUGAAACAUUGCUCCAUGUUGUUCAGUAUCAGUAAUGAUGUGCAGCUGCAAAAUCUUAAUUUUCCACGAACAAAGAUUUACACUGCUUUAUGGUAUCUUCAGGGCUGGUAACUGAAAAAACGACCAAUAUUAACGCGUGAGGUUCACAUGGACAAAAAAAAUUUAAGCUGCAUUCAUUUGGUUUAGUUUAUCUAUUACAAAGAAACCAAAAUCUUCUCCAUAUGAUGUUACAAU